CUCGAAUGUACAGGGGCUUCAAGAAGCCAAGCCCUAGUUCUUCAAAAAGCUUCAAAUUAAGGGAUGAUUCAAGGCUCAAAUUCGUGAAUUCUCAUGGAUUAAUGAUCACCAUCACAAGGGGAUCAUAAGGAACGUGUCAAGGAGAGCUCAAGCAUAGGAGGAUAACGGGUCAAGAUAAGGCAAGGUCACAAAUACACUUAUUGGAGCACUCAAGGGAUGAGAACGUCAGACUCUUGUAGAAUUGAAGCCGAACCUGGAAGCCGAACUCGAAACAAAGGAAUCCGAGAGGAUAGUCGAAUGAAUUAAAGUUUAUGUUGUUGAAUGUUAUAUGAUUUUUAAUUGUACCAGAUUAUUGUAGUAUGAUGUUGUCAAUGACUAAUGGUUAAGUUGUA